UAUCUUUGCUGCCGUGCAAUGAGGCACAUACAUAAAAAUCAUUAUAAAAUAUUGGCAUG
rnacentral:ncRNA from 1 species